UGGGGGAUAUUGCACAAUGGGCGAAAGCCUGAUGCAGCGACGCCGCGUGGGGGAUGAAGGCCUUCGGGUUGUAAACUCCUUUUGCUCUGAACAAGGCAUGCCUUUGGGGUGUGUUGAGUGUAGGGGUUGAUUAGCGCCGGCUAACUACGUGCCAGCAGCCGCGGUAAUACGUAGGGCGCGAGCGUUGUCCGGAAUUAUUGGGCGUAAAGGGCUUGUAGGUGGCUGGUUGCGUCUGUCGUGAAAGCUCAUGGCUUAACUGUGGGUUUGCGGUGGGUACGGGCUGGCUUGAGUGCAGUAGGGGAGGCUGGAAUUCCUGGUGUAGCGGUGGAAUGCGCAGAUAUCAGGAGGAAUACCGGUGGCGAAGGCGGGUCUCUGGGCUGUUACUGACGCUGAGGAGCGAAAGCGUGGGGAGCGAACAGG
rnacentral:rRNA from 1 species